GCUAGACUAUCAGUAUCAUGACUUUGAUACUUUUUUAUUUGCUAGAAACUUCAAAUCAGGUUAUUGCACAAGUCAUUUUUUUCUAUUGUUGAUCAGUAUCUGGGGGCUGUACAUGCAAUUCUCUUAUGGAAUAGUGACCAGAUUUGAACAGCGAACUUGGUGCUCGUAGUUUUGUACCAAGAAACGUGAACAUCUCAAUAACCAAGUUUGCCAAACUCCAUGUAUCAAGAGACAUAUGAUUAAGAUGUGGAGAAAUAAGAUCAAAAUACUAUUUGUAUAGUAAAUGAUCAUCCAGAUGAGCACUAGCAUUACAAGGGUAGCGAUGAAAUCAAAGCAAAAUUUCUAUAAAUAAUCUUUUUGGUUAAAUUAUAACCUAGGAAUAGACAGAGAGAACAAUCAACGAAACUUAAAGUUGGGGACAAACAACACCGAAAUGGAUAUUCAUACAAAUAGGUUAAGACGAGGCACUAAAAUAUUCUAACAGAGAAAAUUGUAGUGAUAAACUCAAGCCUUCAAUUAACAAAAUUUGCAUUUC